rnacentral:rRNA from 1 species
GUCCGAUUAGUUAGUUGGUGAGGUAACGGCUCACCAAGACUACGAUGUCUAGGGGAUCUGAGAGGAUGACCCCCACACUGGUACUGAGACACGGACCAGACUCCUACGGGAGGCAGCAGUAAGGAAUAUUGGUCAAUGGGCGGAAGCCUGAACCAGCCAUGCCGCGUGCAGGAAGACGGCCUACGGGUUGUAAACUGCUUUAUUCGGGAAUAAACCCUUUACGUGUAAGAGGCUGAAUGUACCGAAGGAAUAAGGAUCGGCUAACUCCGUGCCAGCAGCCGCGGUAAUACGGAGGAUCCAAGCGUUAUCCGG